GUUGCAUUUUACCUCAGUCUUUUCACCUUAGCUCUUGCCUGACACAAGCUGCAGGCUUGCUUGUGCGUGCUCUAGCACCUUGCCUUGCCUGCUUCACUUCAGACUGGCCUUAUAGUCUGAUUGGUCAGACAAUCAGGCUGUUGGCUGGCCAUGGUCACUGUCACAAAAUCUGCACUGCCCUUCUUAUUCAGGUUUUUAUGACACACCCUGUGGAUCUACAUUUCACAGAAUCAGAGAAUUUCUUUCAUCUUCUUUUCAAGAGAAAAGCAUGUGGACCCUCAACCUUUUAAUAAGUGUUGUGUCAUCCAGAGAAAACUAGAAACAGCUGUGUCCAAAGGAAAAGACAAUAUGAAGUGACAACUUAUGCUGGCCUGCAGGAGUUUGAUCACAUUAAUUCCCUAAUGGAGAAGCUAAUGUAUGUCACCACUCCACCAUGUGUAAUCAUCUCAGACUGGAGAGAAUAGUAUUUCCUCCAGCUGAAUAAGUUUUGAUCAAUUCUCAAAAUGUUACUGCAACAUUCAUUUUUAUCUGUGACUGGUAAAGAACUUUAAUUUAAAUAUUACCACUUGUUGUUUUCACUUCACAGUUUUAAAGGAAUUCAGUGAAGUGAAAGUGUAAAUGAUAUAAAUGAUAAAUAGAUAAUAUUAAUUCAAAGAGUAUCAGUAUUUGUCAUGCUUCAAGAACCUGCCACAUACCUAUGCCUAAGCAGCUGCUCAGCUCUUACCUGAGGCUUUGGGAUUAAAGUAGCCAGUGGUCAACCUUACUCAGCAAAUUUUUUCUUUCCAACAUAGCUAGUGGGUUACUGUGAUUAAUGCAAUGAAAGACUUGCACCUUCUGGUUCCAACUAAACAUGCAGCAACUUGAAGUUCAUGUACACACUUAUAUAAGUGUGUACAAACAAAAUGGCUGAAAGAAUAACAGAUAUUUUCUGCUUGCAGGACAUGGUUAUACUAUAAGAACUAAAAUGCUGAACAAAUUAUAUGAAAUUAAAUUUUAUUAAUUGUUUUCAUUAUUACUAGUCAGUGUGUACCUGUAUAGAUUUGUGAAUGUAUAAAGCCAGAAUGCCAUUUCUGUUACCUGCACAGUUCCAGUUAGACAACUGAAGAAAAGUACUAUAUCAUCAGUUUUCAUCUGAAUUUAUGGUGCUCAAGCAACUGAACAUUUAUAACACUUAAAAGGCAAAGAUCAUUAAAUGUAGUUAUCCAGUGUCUUUGCAUGUACCUACGCAAAAAGCUCUUUAUGCUUCAGGCACUCACAAAACCACUGCCCGCAUUCACCCCUGUGAAUAAAAGCAUUAUAUAUUGAUGGAAGAUCUUUGCAAAGGAGUCCUGAUUAUCUUGUGUAGGGUCUUGCUCAUACAGUAAGAGUUCUUCCACAAAAUUUGGCCUAUUUUCACUUACAUGUAGACAUUUUAAAAACAUAUUUUACUUUCAAGCUUUUUAUUGCAUCAUGAAUCAAGUCUUUAGGACAAUAUGAAUCCCAUUACAAAAUGUUGACAGUUUAGAGUAAAAGGGGAUGAUUUUCCAUCUAUUGUAUUUAUCAUCUCUUUCAAGGUCACCUUAAAAGAAUUAUGGUCACAGAAUUUCUAGAAGCUUUAAAACUUUGGUCCAUUUAUUUAAAUCUUUUAUCAAAUUGUUAUUGCUUUUUCAUUAUGCAGGUGGAGAUCAGUCCCACAAGAAUCAUGCAAAUCAGGAAAGAAUAGUGUAGCCUGUAGUAAUCUUCAUCUGAAUCCUUUUGAACAAUUUAUAGACUACAAAGUAGUUGAUUCUUACAAAACCUCUUGUGGCAAGUUAUACUAUUUACUUGUCCAUAAGUGGUUGUUUUCAAAAUCAUCCAGCAGCUGGUUCUAAUGAAAUUGAAAUUCACAUUGAUUUCCACUGUUUUAUGCAUGUAGACAGGGCUAAGCUGCACCUGGCUUUAGAGAGGACUGAAAUAAAAAUCGAAGGACGACAAAAUGAGAAUUACAUUUGAGCUGCUUUCUAGUUUCUGUUCUCCUCAGUAACCUGAGGUCUACGGCUAAAACAGGUUUUUAGUACAAAACACUGUUUAUGUUUAGUUCACAUAGUCUGUAGUCUCUCUUUUUUGUCACAAGAGGAAGAAAUCUAACUCUUCAAAGGCUAUUUAGAUAUCUGUUUGGUCCAUGUCAUUUAUAUCCAUUCUGGGCUUUGUCUGGUGCUAUCUCAGACCUUCUAUGGGGGUGUAUCUCAGCAUUUUCAAGCAGUAAUUGAAGAAGAUCUCCAAGGAUCAUCUAAGUUAUAAUUGCCAGUCCUGAGAAUGUAGACUUUCUAGCAGGCUUCUUUUUUGUACUAGGCUGACUUGAAAUAUGAACCUGUAAAGUCAUGAAGACCAAGCACCUGAAAAUAUUUAAAUUUUAGUUGUUACACUUCAAAAUCAUCUGGAUAGCCAGUAGGAGACAAUACAAUGAGAGAAAUUUCCCCAGGCCUGGAGUUAUGUGAAGAGUGAAAGCAGAAAGUGAAUUAUACAUAAAACACUUCUACAUGAAUCAAAGAGAGAAAGGGGAAAAUGGUGAAAAACAGGGAGUACAGUUUCACCCUUUUCUUCUUUUCUGAACACAGGUGUUCAAGGUUUCCAUAGAAACUUGAACAUAGUCUGAUGGGGGAGGGAGGGCGCAUAACACUUCCUCCAUUUCUGUUUAAAUGCCAUAAAAGCAAUGGAAAGACUGAUAUGUGGUUUCUGGUUUGCAUGAUUAGGCCAGCUAUAUCUGCAAAGAACAGUCACUAAAACCAAUGAAUCUAUUGAACCUACAUGUCACUAGAAAAAUUUAAGUUAUAAAACAAACCUAAGAGGUAUCAGGAGUUAAGAUUGAGUUUGUCUUUCAUCUCAGUAGGUGACACACUUACAUUAUAUUAGUUAAAUGGAUUCCUUGUAAUGUGUGUGUCUACAAUUUUCACUAUGUUUAUGAAAAAUUAAUAUAUUUUCCCUUUAAGGAACAUUUCUGUAAUUGUUUUGGUCUUUCUGCAAUACCUAAUGUUAGCUAAAAAAUUGUGUGUUUAUUAGAGUUCUUCUCUAUCCAGUGAAUAAUACCUAGAAAAUUGAUAAAAAUUAGCUGAAAAUAGGCUAUGUAAAAUGAGAUACGUGCCAAAUGUGUUGUUCAGAGCUGGUGUAUACUUUAUUUGUUCUGAGGCAGGCUACACAUAGUUGUAGUUAAUUCAGAUGCUAUCAGCCUAAGCAACUAACAGUUACUUUUACAUUAUCAACUCUUCAAGAUAUGAAAUGUUUGAGAAUUAAAGACAGCUGUAGAUUAAUGUUUUUAAUACUUUGUACUUUAAUAAAAAAAGUUAGAAAUUAAAGGUGUUCAUUCUGGAUGAACAUUUAGCUAAACUGUGAUCUGUAGAACUCAUGCAGAAAGUGCUUAGUUAAACAUUAGCUUCACAACCCUUUCAUAGAGAUUGGGUUUGGGUGUUUCUACACAUGUACAGGAGCAAAAUUAACUGUAUCACAAGGAAAGGCAGCUAUUCCUUCAUGUUAGGAAACAGGUAAGUUAAGUUCCAUAGAGGGAUAUGAACUUAAUGCUAAGAAGGUGAUGACAUUCCUAUUCUUUGUUGCAAGGACUUCCUACACUUUUUUGCAUUAACUGGUCAUAGAAUGAAGUGCCUUUAAAUAUAUAUAUAUGUAUAAAUAUAUAUAUGUUAUAUGCUAAUAUUAUAUACUAAUAUUAUAUAUAUCUUAUAUUUAUAUAUCUUAUAUAUAUAUAUAUUAUAUGUAUACUUCAGUAAGUAGUGGCAGAUGGGAUUCCCUAUUCUGAAGUGAGAGGCUACAAAUGAGGAGCAAUA